rnacentral:rRNA from 1 species
UAGAAUUCCACGUGUAGCGGUGAAAUGCGUAGAGAUGUGGAGGAAUACCGGUGGCGAAGGCGGCCUUCUGGACAGAUACUGACGCUGAGAUGCGAAAGCGUGGGGAGCAAACAGGAUUAGAUACCCUGGUAGUCCACGCUGUAAACGAUGUCGAUUUGGAGUUUGUUGCCUAGAGUGAUGGGCUCCGAAGCUAACGCGAUAAAUCGACCGCCUGGGGAGUACGGCCGCAAGGUUAAAACUCAAAUGAAUUGACGGGGGCCCGCACAAGCGGUGGAGCAUGUGGUUUAAUUCGAUGCAACGCGAAGAACCUUACCUGGUCUUGACAUCCACAGAAUCUUGCAGAGAUGCGAGAGUGCCUUCGGGAACUGUGAGACAGGUGCUGCAUGGCUGUCGUCAGCUCGUGUUGUGAAAUGUUGGGUUAAGUCCCGCAACGAGCGCAACCCUUAUCCUUUGUUGCCAGCGAUUCGGUCGGGAACUCAAAGGAGACUGCCGUUGAUAAAGCGGAGGAAGGUGGGGACGACGUCAAGUCAUCAUGGCCCUUACGACCAGGGCUACACACGUGCUACAAUGGCGUAUACAAAGGGAGGCGACCUCGCGAGAGCAAGCGGACCUCAUAAAGUACGUCUAAGUCCGGAUUGGAGUCUGCAACUCGACUCCAUGAAGUCGGAAUCGCUAGUAAUCGUGAAUCAGAAUGU